rnacentral:rRNA from 1 species
AUUGAACGCUGGCGGCAGGCCUAACACAUGCAAGUCGAGCGGUAGAGAGGUGCUUGCAUCUCUUGAGAGCGGCGGAAGGGUGAGUAAUGCCUAGGAAUCUGCCUGGUAGUGGGGGAUAACGCUCGGAAACGGACGCUAAUACCGCAUACGUCCUACGGGAGAAAGCAGGGGACCUUCGGGCCUUGCGCUAUCAGAUGAGCCUAGGUCGGAUUAGCUAGUUGGUGAGGUAAUGGCUCACCAAGGCGACGAUCCGUAACUGGUCUGAGAGGAUGAUCAGUCACACUGGAACUGAGACACGGUCCAGACUCCUACGGGAGGCAGCAGUGGGGAAUAUUGGACAAUGGGCGAAAGCCUGAUCCAGCCAUGCCGCGUGUGUGAAGAAGGUCUUCGGAUUGUAAAGCACUUUAAGUUGGGAGGAAGGGUCGUUACCUAAUACGUGACGAUUUUGACGUUACCGACAGAAUAAGCACCGGCUAACUCUGUGCCAGCAGCCGCCUAACAC